UACGUAGGGAGCAAGCGUUGUCCGGAAUCAUUGGGCGUAAAGCGCGCGUAGGCGGCCUUGUAAGUCCGUUGUGAAAGUCAAAGGCUCAACCUUUGAAAGCCGAUGGAUACUGCAAGGCUGGAGUCCGGAAGAGGCGAGUGGAAUUCCUGGUGUAGCGGUGGAAUGCGCAGAUAUCAGGAGGAACACCGGUGGCGAAGGCGGGUCUCUGGGCAGUAACUGACGCUGAGGAGCGAAAGCGUGGGGAGCGAACAGG
rnacentral:rRNA from 1 species